UACGUAGGGGGCAAGCGUUGUCCGGAAUUAUUGGGCGUAAAGAGCGUGUAGGCGGUCCGGUAAGUCAGCUGUGAAAGUCAAGGGCUCAACCCUUGAAAGCCGGUUGAUACUGUCGGGCUAGAGUCCGGAAGAGGCGAGUGGAAUUCCCGGUGUAGCGGUGAAAUGCGCAGAUAUCGGGAGGAACACCGAUGGCGAAGGCAGCCCCCUGGGUUAACACUGACGCUCAGGCACGAAAGCGUGGGGAGCAAACAGG
rnacentral:rRNA from 1 species